rnacentral:lncRNA from 1 species
GGGUGACUCCCUCGUUUGAGGCUCUGACUGGUGUGACGGCUCAGGUCGUGACCUCAGGGUCGUGAGAUCAAGUCCCUCGCUUAAGAGCCUGCUUAAGAUUUUCUCUCUUCCUCUGCCCCUUCCCCUCUCCCUCUCUUAAAAAAGAGAAGAAACAAACAAUCACAUCCUCAAGAUGACCGAGACUGGACCUUGAGGACCAACCCGUGUCACCACUGGGGUUUUCCGGGAACACCCUGGCCCGCAGCUCGAGCCGCGGCCAACACACCUGGCAAGCAAAUGCUUCGAGACCAUUUGCCGAAGUCCCUUUACCUUCCCGUGAUAGAGCACUCUUUGCCCAAACAUCCCACCUGUCAAAGCUCAUGCUCCUUGGAACCUGGAUUCUGCACCAUGCCUGGGUGUCCUUGGAAUGACCCCAGUUUCAUGCACAAGGAAAGUAAGGCUCAGCAAAGUUGAGUAACUCGUCCAAGUUGGCGCAGCUCCUGAGUGCCGGGGCUCACAUCCCAUCCCUGCUCUACUGACCAGAGAACCCGGUGCGCUCCUCGCAGACCCCGCAGACGGAAUGUUUGAGUCCCUCCCUUCAAGUCUGUGUGUUGAAACACGAACCCCAGUGUGAUGGUAUUUGCAGGCGAGGUCUUCAGGAAGUGACUAGGUGACAAAGGGACUAGCGACCUGAUAAAGGGGACCCCAGAGAGUUCCCUCACCCCUUCCGCCAUGCGAAGACCCAGCGGGAAGACCUCAUCUGUGAACCCAGAUGCAGCUCCCACCAGACACCCCAUCUGCAGGCACCUUGACCUUGGACUCCCAGCCUCCAGCACGUGAGAAAUUAGUGUUUGCUGUGUCAGCCCCCACAGCCCAGUCUGUGGUAUUUUGGUGUAGCGGCCUGAACGGAUUAAGAUAACUCCCCGGGUAGAGCUGAACUCCUUAUCCUCCCAGAAACACAUGGAAUAAGGCAACCUUCUUGUGUAGAAAUGUCUACGGCUUUCCAUGAAAUGGUGACAAAAUCGCCGUGAGUACGGUUUGGCAGAGUUUGUUCAACUCCUGAGGGCAGACUCCGGGCGUGCGUUAGGACCUAUGUCGUUUUGCCUUUUCAGGGAUUAGAAGCUGCCAGGUGGAGGUGUUCAGAGGACCACCUGUUGAUUUCCUGGUUUCUCAAGAUGCCACCCCUUCCUCUGUGCAUAUGGGUAUGUUACUUAUCAGCAGCUCAGGUUCCCUCUAUGCGGUGUUAGGACUUCUGCCUGCCUUU